rnacentral:tRNA from 1 species
GCCCGGGUGGCGGAAUCGGCAGACGCAGAGGACUCAAAAUCCUCCGCCCUCUAAAGGCGUGUGGGUUCGACCCCCACCCCGGGCACCA